rnacentral:rRNA from 1 species
ACAUGCAGUCGAGCGAACAGAUAAGGAGCUUGCUCCUUUGACGUUAGCGGCGGACGGGUGAGUAACACGUGGGUAACCUACCUAUAAGACUGGGAUAACUUCGGGAAACCGGAGCUAAUACCGGAUAACAUUUGGAACCGCAUGGUUCUAAAGUGAAAGAUGGUUUUGCUAUCACUUAUAGAUGGACCCGCGCCGUAUUAGCUAGUUGGUAAGGUAACGGCUUACCAAGGCGACGAUACGUAGCCGACCUGAGAGGGUGAUCGGCCACACUGGAACUGAGACACGGUCCAGACUCCUACGGGAGGCAGCAGUAGGGAAUCUUCCGCAAUGGGCGAAAGCCUGACGGAGCAACGCCGCGUGAGUGAUGAAGGGUUUCGGCUCGUAAAACUCUGUUAUUAGGGAAGAACAAAUGUGUAAGUAACUGUGCACGUCUUGACGGUACCUAAUCAGAAAGCCACGGCUAACUACGUGCCAGCAGCCGCGGUAAUACGUAGGUGGCAAGCGUUAUCCGGAAUUAUUGGGCGUAAAGCGCGCGUAGGCGGUUUCUUAAGUCUGAUGUGAAAGCCCACGGCUCAACCGUGGAGGGUCAUUGGAAACUGGGAAACUUGAGUGCAGAAGAGGAAAGUGGAAUUCCAUGUGUAGCGGUGAAAUGCGCAGAGAUAUGGAGGAACACCAGUGGCGAAGGCGACUUUCUGGUCUGUAACUGACGCUGAUGUGCGAAAGCGUGGGGAUCAAACAGGAUUAGAUACCCUGGUAGUCCACGCCGUAAACGAUGAGUGCUAAGUGUUAGGGGGUUUCCGCCCCUUAGUGCUGCAGCUAACGCAUUAAGCACUCCGCCUGGGGAGUACGACCGCAAGGUUGAAACUCAAAGGAAUUGACGGGGACCCGCACAAGCGGUGGAGCAUGUGGUUUAAUUCGAAGCAACGCGAAGAACCUUACCAAAUCUUGACAUCCUUUGAAAACUCUAGAGAUAGAGCUUUCCCCUUCGGGGGACAAAGUGACAGGUGGUGCAUGGUUGUCGUCAGCUCGUGUCGUGAGAUGUUGGGUUAAGUCCCGCAACGAGCGCAACCCUUAAGCUUAGUUGCCAUCAUUAAGUUGGGCACUCUAGGUUGACUGCCGGUGACAAACCGGAGGAAGGUGGGGAUGACGUCAAAUCAUCAUGCCCCUUAUGAUUUGGGCUACACACGUGCUACAAUGGACAAUACAAAGGGCAGCUAAACCGCGAGGUCAUGCAAAUCCCAUAAAGUUGUUCUCAGUUCGGAUUGUAGUCUGCAACUCGACUACAUGAAGCUGGAAUCGCUAGUAAUCGUAGAUCAGCAUGCUACGGUGAAUACGUUCCCGGGUCUUGUACACACCGCCCGUCACACCACGAGAGUUUGUAACACCCGAAGCCGGUGGAGUAACCAUUUA